rfam:Picea glauca, whole genome shotgun sequence.
AUGUAAUGUAAUUCCUACAACAUCAAUGCAUCAAAUUCCAUUAGAAGUGUGCAGUUAAGCGCACUUGGGCUAGAGUAGUACUAGGAUGGUUGACCUCUUAGGAAGUCCCAGUGUUUUACAUG